CAUGACUUGAUGGAAUAAGGCCUCCCUGGAGCCUUCUCCUCUCUAGGCUAGAAGACCAACUCCCCAAACCUUUCUCCAUGGGACACCCAUUCCAGCUGGGUGCAGUCAUCCAGGCAGAUCCCAACCCCUCAAACAGCCCAUCCACCAAACCCAGAUCUCUCCAGUUUAAUGACAAGGAAGCUGUAGCUGACUGUGGCAAAGGCCUUACAGGAGCUGAGGAUUGCAUUUACAAAUAAAACUGUGUGAGAACUACUCAACUGGAUCAGGCAGCAGUCCCUGUUGCCCAACAUUCAGCCUCUGAGAGCAGAAUGUUGCAGAUGUUGAUGGAAACAGCAUCAGAAACAAGGUCUGCUGCCUGAUCACUUAGGAAUUUAUGCCACAGUGAGGGAGAAACUUGCACAGAAAAGAAGGGGAGCUGUGUCCAUGUACAUGCAGAAACGCCUGAUGAUUUUUGCCAUUAAAGCAAACUUUCCCAUGUUGAAAUUCUGGCAAAAAAGGUUUGGGAUUUGAUCUGCUGGUGGUGUUAAACCAGUAUGAACCAACAUGCUGCUGGAGGAUUCCUCUUCUACCAAGUGACAAGAGACAGGAUGAGAGGAAAUGGCCUCAAGGUGCACCAGGGGAGCUUUGGACUGGAUUUCAGAAAAAAUUUCAAGGAUUGGAGCAGGCUGUGCUGAGAAGUGGUGGAGCCACCAUCACUGGAAGUGUUCAAAACAUGUGUGGGUACAGCAGCUGGUGCUGUUCUGACUUGCACUUGGUCUUAAAGGUCUUUUCCAACGUUACUGAUUCUAUGAUUCCAUGCCAAAGGUGCUUUUCCUCCCAUGGAAGGAGCAGAGGGCUCAAUCAGCAGUACUGCAAGGUUAAUGCAACAUGUGCUGGGCUCCUCUGCUUCUCAUAGAAAGGGAGAGAGCAAAGGCAUUUCACCUCAGGCUUUUAAAAGUGCUCCCAGACUGUUCUUCAGCCCUCUCCUUUCCUUCUGCCCCCACCACAAAUGCAAUCCAAAUACGAGCCCAAUAAAAAAUUCCUGGCAGUUAAAGGAGGAAAAUUAAGCAGCAAGGACAGGUUUUGCUGGUUGUGUUUGAACAG